ensembl:lncRNA
GGCGCGGAUCCGGGGCCAAACCCUCCAGGGCUGCGCUGCAGACAGCGACGGCCAGAGGCGGAUACAGUCGGGUUUAGGGACCGCAGGAGCGAAUUCCCGGAGGCCUGCAGGAGCCGCCCCGCGCCGCGUCCAGCCUUUCUCUCUGGGCCUAGCGGGUCUCCCCCAGGCGCGCCCCUCCCUCCCCACAGGCGCACUUUCUCCACCUGCAUCUGGGGCGAGGCGCGGCUGGGAGCGAAGCACAAGUGGGCUGGGCGAGGUUUGGGGUUCGAGGAUUGCAGAGUGACCGCGGGGUCUGGGGAAGAGUUGUCUUGGUGGCGCCACCAGAGCCCGACCCGCCGCGGCCGGGACCCUGCAGGGCAGGUAGCGACCUGCGGAGAAGCCGCCUGGCGCGGCCGACUCGGCUGCCGGGGCGUGGGCCUGGGCCGGGCGCAGGAGCAGCGGGGAUGCUGGGUGCGCUCCGAGGGUGCGGCCUCCCGGCUGUGCGGGGCUCAGAGCCGGGUGCUGGGCGCGGGGCCUGGCAAAGGUAAGGCAGGAAUGGGCGUCUUUCUCGCGGGACGCUGGGUCGGAGGGAGCUUGAACUUGAGGUUGCUGGGGAAUCCAGAAAGGACGCCAGUGCCACCGGGAGCGCCUGCCUUGGCGCGUGGAGCUGCUCCUCCCUCAAUGGGGGACCCUGCUGGUAGCCAGAAAUCGUUCGACACAGCCGGAAUCCCAGGAAAAUCUACCUUUCUGGAGACUGCAGCUCCUGUGAUAGCUCAACAGACUUCAGUUCCUCACAAAUAUUGCUCUCUACGGUUUCCCCCAAAACACUUCAGGAAAUACAGUGUCCUGUCUUCACAAAUGCUUCUGCAUCUGAAUUCUCAUGCUGUGCUGUGCUCAUAGAGGCACCCAUCACAAGGCAGUUAAUCUCAAAUGCCCAACAGCAGAGCACUAUCUGGAUUUGUGUCUGCCACUCUGAUUGUGUACCUUCUGCAAACAGUUGCUGACUGGCUGUUUCUGCAUCCCCAGCAGAGGACUGGCAGCUUGUUAGAGCUCAUUAAAUAUUUGUCAAUUUGAAUUAAAUUUGAAAUAUUGUAUUAAAAAUCUUGCACCAACCUCCAGGGGCCUUAGCAGUGAUUUUUGUUCUUACUAUGGCAAUGUAGGUGCAUUGCACACUUAUUAAGUAUCUUGAUGCUUUCCUCCCUCUAAAUGGAACUCCAAACUUUUAUACAGUGUUAUGCUCUGCUGAGUUUCACGUAAGGACGUUGCUGCCUGCUCUUGGCAUUGAGACUUCAGGAUCAAUAUGAGGUGUUACUUCCCUAGAAGAAAGAAAUACUACUGAGUGAUUUCACAUUGCUCAGGAUCUGAACUUUUCAACUUUUAACAGAUUUUUCAUUGACUGAUAAUAGUAUACAUUUAUGAAUUCCAGUACAAUGUUAUGAUACAUGUAUACAUUGUAGGGUAACUAAAUCAGGAUAACUAAUAUAUUCAUCCCCUCACAUACUUAUUUCCAUUACCAAAAAGACGAAAGAUAUCAAGUGUUGGCAAGGAUGUGAAGGAAAGGUGACAUUUGUGCACUCCUAGCGGUAAUGCAUUUUAGAAAGAUUUGUGAAAUGGACACAACUUUAGCUUUUGAAUCCAGUAAUUAACUCUUGUGCUGUGGUACCUUGUGACAGGAAGUAAUAAAGUAAGAUUUGACAAACACAACCAACUCCCAGGAUCUCUAAGUCAGAACCUCAGUCCUUAUCUUGCCUGCAUGGCUCAUGCUUUUCAUGAUCAUCACCAGUUCAGAGACUGCAAGAUGACAGAUUUCAGUCGUGAAAUCAGUGAAUUUGUUGGUGCUGCUGCUUGGCAGAUACUCAGCAUCCUGCUCUAGACUUGGAUUUCCUUAUCAGCGAUUCUCCUUUAGGAUUUGUGUGGAAGAAAUUGGUAGCAAAAAAGAAAGGCAUUGCGAUCCUCCAACUUCCUGAAAUCCAUCCCUCUGGAAUAUCUUCCUCCUUAAAUAUGAAAUAAAUGUUUAAACGUAAGUUCUACUAAGGCACAAAGAAAUUCUUUAGCAUCUGAGUUUUCUUGAGGAUUUGUAUGCUGCACAUCUCAGCUCCACUCAUCUUCAAGAACUAUAGUUUUAUUUUAUUUCAUUUGUUUUCACUGUCUAGAAAUAGAAGGCAGUUAGUCUUAAAGGUAAUAGUGAUUUGACAGCCUUGUAAUUUUUCAGGUCUGCGGGUCCUAGAUGUUUCUUGCCAGGGUUCAACCUGAAACUGGAAGAGAGGUGGAAUAUCGUCUCACUAAAGAGGUUUUCUGGGGUACUUAUCCAAGGCUUCUUAAUGCAAUUGUCAAUGCAAAUAUCCAUAUUUCUUUUUUUUUUCUGGUCUGGUCUUACUGCUGCUUGGCAAUAUUUUGAAGUUUUAGUUGGUCAACUUCUCCCCCUUGAUGUUUGUUAGCCACUUAUGAUUAUGUGCUGGAAUGAAGGGGGAAAGGACGAUAUUUGUGACUUGAUUAGAAAUGAAACUAGGUGGAUAUUUGCAAAGUUUCUUGUAGCAUAAAUUCAAUAACUCAAUUUUAUCAGCUUUAUGCUAUAGAAAAAAACAAUAAAGAGUUAGGGCUGGAUCGCACAGCUAAAACCCGUGAUCAUACACAAUGUUUUCAUCACUGAGUAGGUUAAUAACGACCUGAAUAAAAUUUGCUGACAAUAAGAACUACAGACCACAGGAACAGAACCAAGAUUUGUUCAUUUGCUCUUUGUAGGUACAUUUCCC